rnacentral:rRNA from 1 species
UACGUAGGGUGCGAGCGUUAAUCGGAAUUACUGGGCGUAAAGUGUGCGCAGGCGGCCGCGCAAGUCGAGUGUGAAAGCCCCGGGCUUAACUUGGGAAUUGCGCUCGAAACUACGUGGCUGGAGUGUGGCAGAGGAAGGUGGAAUUCCAGGUGUAGCGGUGAAAUGCGUAGAGAUCUGGAGGAACACCGAUGGCGAAGGCGGAUCUCUGGGCCUUACCUGACGCUGAGGAGCGAAAGCUGGGGGAGCGGACAGG